rnacentral:rRNA from 1 species
CCUACGGGAGGCUGCAGUGAGGAAUAUUGGUCAAUGGGCGAGAUCCUGAACCAGCCAAGUCGCGUGAGGGAAGACUGCCCUAUGGGUUGUAAACCUCUUUUGUCGGGGAGCAAAACGCGGGACGUGUCGCGGACUGCGUGUAUCCGAAGAAAAAGCAUCGGCUAACUCCGUUCCAGCAGCCGCGGUAAUACUGAGGAUUCGGGCGUUAUCCGGAUUUAUUGGGUUUAAAGGGUGCGUUGGCGGGCCGUUAAGUCAGCGGUAAAAUUGCGGGGCUCAACCUCGUCGAGCCGUUGAAACUGGGAGACUUGAGUGGGCGAGAAGUACGCGGAAUGCGCGGUGUAGCGGUGAAAUGCAUAGAUAUCGCGCAGAACUCCGAUUGCGAAGGCAGCGUACCGGCGCCAGACUGACGCUGAGGCACGAAAGCGUGGGGAUCGAACAGGAUUAGAUACCCCUGUAGUC